AUUGCAAUGAAUCUCAGUAAUAAUAAUCUUACUGGAAGCAUACCGCCAGAGCUGGGUAAUCUUAAUUUAUUGGAAUUCCUUCUGCUCAAUAAUAACCAUUUGACUGGUGAAAUUCCCAAAACAUUUGAAAGUCUUUCAAGUUUAAUAGGUUGCAACUUCUCAUAUAAUAACCUCACUGGACCCUUACCUUCAGUACCACUAUU
rnacentral:misc_RNA from 1 species